CGUGGCCGACACCUAGCGAGUAUCGUUUACGGCUAGGACUACCCGGGUAUCUAAUCCGGUUCGUGCCCCUAGCUUUCGUCCCUUGCCGUCAGGUCCGUUCUGGUGAGACGCUUUCGCCACUGGUGGUCCUUCAAGGAUUACAAGAUUUCACCCCUACCCCUGAAGUACCUCUCACCUCUCCCGGCCUCGAGCCAGACAGUAUCUCCUGAAAGCCUGACAGUUAAGCUGCCAGAUUUCUCAAGAGACUUAUCCGGCCGGCUACAGACCCUUUAGACCCAAUAAUAACGGUUACCACUCGAGCCGCCGGUGUUACCGCGGCGGCUGGCACCGGUCUUGCCCGGCCCUUGCUAUGAAAUGCUUUUUAGGCAUCUCGACAGCCAGAUUUGUAACCUGGCACUCGAGGUUCCCUUAUCGCUUUUGCCAGCAUUGUAAAGUUUUCGCGCCUGCUGCACCCCGUAGGGCCUGGAUUCGUGUCUCAGAAUCCAUCUCCGGG
rnacentral:rRNA from 1 species